rnacentral:pre_miRNA from 1 species
AUUCUACUCCCUCCGUUGCACAAUACAUGCCUUCUAUUUGUCAAAAUAUAUAUGUAUCUAGACAUGUCUUAGUAUAUAGGUACAUCCAUUUUUGGACAAAUGGAAGUCAAGUAUUUUGGAACCGAUGGAGUACACA